rnacentral:rRNA from 1 species
GACGAACGCUGGCGGCGUGCUUAACACAUGCAAGUCGAACGGAAAGGCCCUGCUUUUGUGGGGUGCUCGAGUGGCGAACGGGUGAGUAACACGUGAGUAACCUGCCCUUGACUUUGGGAUAACUUCAGGAAACUGGGGCUAAUACCGGAUAGGAGCUCCUGCUGCAUGGUGGGGGUUGGAAAGUUUCGGCGGUUGGGGAUGGACUCGCGGCUUAUCAGCUUGUUGGUGGGGUAGUGGCUUACCAAGGCUUUGACGGGUAGCCGGCCUGAGGGGGUGACCGGCCACAUUGGGACUGAGAUACGGCCCAGACUCCUACGGGAGGCAGCAGUGGGGAAUAUUGCACAAUGGGCGGAAGCCUGAUGCAGCAACGCCGCGUGCGGGAUGACGGCCUUCGGGUGGUAAACCGCUUUCGCCUGUGACGAAGCGUGAGUGACGGUAAUGGGUAAAGAAGCACCGGCUAACUACGUG